AUACCCGGGUAGUCCCAGCUGUAAACGAUGCAGGCUAGGUGUUUGGACGGCCACGUGCCGUUCUAGUGCCGCAGGGAAGCUGUUAAGCCUGCCGCCUGGGGAGUACGAUCGCAAGAUUGAAACUUAAAGGAAUUGGCGGGGGAGCACCACAAGGGGUGAAGCUUGCGGUUUAAUUGGAGUCAACGCCGGAAAUCUCACCGGGAGCGACAGCAGUAUGAAGGCCAGAUUAAAGGUCUUGCCAGACGAGCUGAGAGGAGGUGCAUGGCCGUCGCCAGUUCGUGCCGUGAGGUGUCCUGUUAAGUCAGGCAACGAUCGAGACCCGCGUCCUCUGUUGCAACUAGCUUUGAGCUGGGCACACUGAGGAGACCGCCACUGAUAAAGUGGAGGAAGGAGCGGGCCACGGCAGGUCAGUAUGCCCCGAAUCUCCCGGGCCACACGCGAGCUGCAAUGGCAGGUACAAUGGGUUCCGACCUCGAAAGGGGAAGGCAAUCCCGAAAGCCUGCCGUAGUUUGGAUCGAGGGCUGCAACCCGCCCUCGUGAACAUGGAAUCCCUAGUAAUCGC
rnacentral:rRNA from 1 species